rnacentral:tRNA from 1 species
AGUUAUAUAGUUUAAGUAAAACAUUAAUUUUGUAAAUUAAUAAUAAAUAAUAAUUUUAUAACUU